GAAAUCAAGAAAAAGAUAAUACAGCUUCUACAUCAGGAGAUUCACAAGAUCACAGGCUAAUUUUCAAGGAGUGUGGCUGACUGAGUCACUGCAGAUGCUUAAGGGCUGAAGUUGUGGAGGUAGCGCUUUACACUACGGCUCUUUGUCCUCCUGAUGGAAAAAUCCAGAUGGAAAGAAGUGUAGUUCAGAAGGAAAUGAUCAUGGGCCUAUUUUCUCUUGGGUUUGAAGAGUUUGAAUGAGCAGAAUGGACAACAAAUUAGGAAUGUAUCCUAAAGGAGUGUCUAACACAUUUGUUGCCUUCAUUUAACCAAAUGAUCGAGGAAUGACUGGAGCAUACAAAAUUCAGAAACCUUCUACACCCUAAACAGGUUAUGGAACUCCCGAAAUUACAGUGCCUUUCUGGAGCUCUAAGUCAUCUGUGCUGUUCACAUCUGUGCUGCAGAUCACUGUGGAUAAAUGACUGAGUCCUGUCAGCCAGCUGCAGUUUUAUUUUGUUUCCUACGGGCAUCAGAAAAGAAUAAUGCUGCAACUGAAAUGUUUUGCAAUGAUUGAUAUGAGGAUUGAUAUGAGGAUUGACAGGACGAGGCUCC